CUUAGCUGCAUACUUUUCUCAUUAACACCCUAAAUAUAUCAUGCCAGUCCUUUCUGACCUGCCAGGUAUCUGUGAAUAGGUCAGCUGCCAAUCUAAUAUUUUUCCCAUU